CCAAAACAAACCAGAAGUGCUUAAAAUGAGGACGGGUAGCUCCGUGUACCAAUCAGAAUUUAAAACUGUAUCAAUUCCUGCUAUAGAAAGAGGCUUCUCCCCAGGACCAGGAUUCCACGAAGGCAGCCCUUUUCUAGAUGGAGAAAAUAGAACCUGAAGGCAGCCGUUUCCCUAAACUGCUCUCGCUCAUGUGAUCCUGUGCACUUUAUUCUUCCCUACCAGCCUCAGAAGCCACGUGCUGAAGACAGUGAAGUUCUGUCUGGGAAGAAGCAUCGAUCCCUAAAUGACUGCAUGGAGCAGAGCAGAGAUGUCUGCUCACUAAGUUGGUUCGAAGCUGAGGAGGAAAAAAAUUAGGUGCUAGGAUGCUGGAGAGAUCCUCAGAAACCCCUCUACAUGAAUCAUUUAAGUAGAUGAAGAGCUAGAUUGCAAUAAUCAUUGGGAGGAGAAGAAGAAUAAAACAUGAGAUUCCAUUCACAUCCCAGAAUUAAAGGUACUGUCGUGAUGCCCAUUUUACAGAUGAAGAAACUGAGGUUUCCAGAGGUCCAGUCCCUGCCUGAGCUGAUGCAGUUACGAAGGCUGAAGCCCGGACUUGAUUUGAGUUCGGCCUGCGGAGCCCCGGCUGAGCUACCUGCCUUCUAGCCCCACGGUGGAAAGGGAGAAUCCAGACAUCCUUGAGACCUACCCAAGGAGUUUCCCUGUUACUGCCCUGCCAUCCUUCUGAUGCCACCCUGUUCCGUAUCUGGCUGGAGCCAGCGUGGUUGUGUCUGGGUUUGGCUCCAUAGUAGAUGUUCUCGGUGGCCUUACUAUUCCUGUGCACGCCGGCCACUUUUGCCUGAAGCUCUCUGUGGCUGCCAAUGCCCACUUUGUUGAAAGUACUUGGAAAUUAAGACCCUCUAGGGAGUAUCUCUGAGUUGUGCCUGGUGAGAUUUCAUGAAGGAAUGGCCCAGCUCCUGCAGACCUAGGCGGGAUGUCUGAGGUGCACCUUCUACACGCUCUUUCAGUUGGAUUAAGUCCUAGGAUGCCCACAGGGGUCACUGAGAGGUUAACAAACAUUUUUUUUUUUUUUUUUUUUGAGAUGGAGUCUUGCUCUGUCACCCAGGCUGGAGUGCAGUGGCCUGAUCUCAGCUCACUGCAAGCUCCACCUCCCAGGUUCAUGCUAUUUUCCUGCCUCAGCCUCCUGAGUAGCUGGGAUUACAGGCGCCCGCCACCACGACCGGCUAAUUUUUUGUAUUUUUAGUACAGACCAGGUUUCACCGUGUUAGCCAGGAUGGUCUCGAUCUCUUGACCUUGUGAUCCACCUGCCUCGGCCUCCCAAAGUGUUGGAAUUAUAGGCUUGAGCCACCACGCACAGCUGACAUUUCCACUUUUGUCUUUUGGCCCAGAUGUUGACAUUUUCUGAGCUCCCAAAGAAUUUACAGACAUUUUUCCUAGGUCAGAGUAAAAGGGAUCCCCUUUGUUCUGGAUCUUCUGUUGCCUUGAUCAUCAGAUCAAGUUGAGGAAAUGGUCCCUUGGGAAGCUAAUCCCAGUGGCUUGGUAAACUUACACCCU
rnacentral:lncRNA from 1 species